UACGUAGGUGACUAGCGUUGUCCGGGAUUUACUGGGCGUAAAGAGCGCGCAGGCGGUCGUCUAAGUCGAGUGUGAAAGCCCCCGGCUCAACUGGGGAGGGUCACUCGAUACUGAUCGACUCGAAGGCAGGAGAGGGAAGCGGAAUUCCCGGUGUAGUGGUGAAAUGCGUAGAGAUCGGGAGGAACACCAGAGGCGAAGGCGGCAAGCUGGAUGGGCACUGACACUCAACUGCGAAAGCGUGGGGAGCAAACAG
rnacentral:rRNA from 1 species